CCACGGCACAGUCUCUGUGACUCAUUCCAACCGGCCACCCCAUCAUUUCCCUGCUGGGCACGAGCCAAUCGAGACAUUAUAGUCUGAGUUGCACUGGGCUUCUGCUAAGGGAGCCAGCUGGAAUUAACGAGUGACAAAGCCUGUGUUUACAGGGCUCUUCCUCUGACUUCACAGCAAGGAGUUCACAAAGUCACUGCUAUUUUUUCUUGGGGUCCAUACCACUGGUCCAUUAGCUUGGAAAGGCAGCUGGUUUAGCCUCUGCACAAGGGAUGCUUCACUGUCCAUGAAGACCCAGCAACUGGGCCUCAUAUCUAAGCCCUCUGGUCCCUUUCCAGUGUAGGUUUCAGGCCCAUUUGGCAAAUUCAACCCCACCUCAGGGCAGCUCUGUGGCCCUGAAAGCAACUCCCAGCCAUCCUCAGCGUACAUCUGUGAACUCUGUGGCCCUUCCGGUCCCUCCUCAGUGUAGAUUUGCAGGAACAGCACUGCUGUCAGCGCUAGAAGCCAUCGUUUUGCCCCGCUCGGCUCUCCCCGCGGACGAGGCCUCCUGACCAGGGGCGGGUACAAGACUUUGGGAGUGCGGCGUCGAGUGGGGGACACAGAGAUGUCCAGGUGUCCAACUGUGACCCUUUUCCAGUGGGCAGAGAUGCUCUUCUCUGAAAGAAGACCACACACUUUGCGGAGGUGUUGGUCUCCCAGGAGGAACCUUGCCCAUGACUCAGAGGGAUUUAUUAUAUGUUUGCCAACAUGUUUAGAUCCGAGGCCACGAGCCUCCGCACGGUUUGCUGCUUGUUUUUACCAGUCGGCCGGUCUUAUUUGUAGAAACCCCUCAGGGGAAGGAGUUUCAUUGCCGUUUUUAGUCACAGUUUGGAAUCCCCAUCAAGGAGUUGGAUUAAACCGUAACCAUGACACAGAACUCUCUCCCAUUUCUCUUUCAAAUGGCCUAUUUUGGGGAAUUUCAUUUAAAAUUCAAAAAUACAAAACAUAAAAAGUAUAAAGGAGCGUGCUGACACUUUGUAUGCUUCUUUACAGCAAAUGGG
rnacentral:lncRNA from 1 species